CGGACGGGUGAGUAAUGUAUGGGGAUCUGCCUGAUGGCGGGGGAUAACUACUGGAAACGGUAGCUAAUACCGCAUAACGUCGCAAGACCAAAGAGGGGACCUUCGGGCCUCUUGCCAUCGGAUGUGCCCAGAUGGGAUUAGCUAGUAGGUGGGGUAACGGCUCACCUAGGCGACGAUCCCUAGCUGGUCUGAGAGGAUGACCAGCCACACUGGAACUGAGACACGGUCCAG
rnacentral:rRNA from 1 species